CCCAAGAGAUCGGGAUAACACCUGGAAACAGAUGCUAAUACCGGAUAACAACAGAUGAUGCCUAUCAACUGUUUAAAAGAUGGUUAUGCUAUCACUCUUGGAUGGACCUGCGGUGCAUUAGCUAGUUGGUAGGGUAACGGCCUACCAAGGCGAUGAUGCAUAGCCGAGUUGAGAGACUGAUCGGCCACAUUGGGACUGAGACACGGCCCAAACUCCUACGGGAGGCAGCAGCA
rnacentral:rRNA from 1 species